UUGUGUGUAUGUGAUUUUCACAGACAAUUUGUGUUUUCCGAGCUGUUAUUCCGUGCUGAUUUCAAGUUGGAUUUUGUGCUUCUGCACCGAAUACACUUUUGCGUUCUGAUUGAAGCCGUACUAAUUAAAGUUUUCGCUGUUUACGUGGGUUCGCUGAUCGUUGUUUUGCUGUGUUGGAUUUUGCGCCUGUAUACCCAAUACACUUUUCCGUUUUGAUUGAAGCCGUCUAAUUGAUGUUUUCGCUGUAUAGGUGGAUUCGCUGAUCGUUGUUUCGUUGUUUUGCUGUGCUGGAUUUUGCGCCUCUGCACCCAAUACACUUUUCUGUUGUAAGUACAAGUGAAAUAUAUGAACA